rnacentral:lncRNA from 1 species
GUAAUUUCAGGAGAAAUCAUGCAUGGUUGUUUGAAUAGGGUUGAGAGAAACUGUUAUAUACUUUGCGGAGUUGUGAUAAAUGCAUACAGUCAUUCUUCACUUUUAUGAAAGAGCUUAACAAGACUUGCGAUACUGUCUCUUCAAACGGUUCGGGGAAAGAAAGCAGCAUAAGAUGUAGAAGUCUGAGGCUCAUUUUCACCGUAUGGCAGAAAGCAUGCAGAACUAAAGUUAAAAAGCAGAAGUUCUCUUAUGCUGA